rnacentral:rRNA from 1 species
GGCGCCAAGGGUCGAGGUGUUCAUUUAUUAGAGUGGAUCGUGAGCUGAGUUUAGACCGUCGUGAGACAGGUUAGUUUUA